rnacentral:rRNA from 1 species
GAUGAACGCUGGCGGCGUGCUUAACACAUGCAAGUCGAACGAUGAAGCCCAGCUUGCUGGGUGGAUUAGUGGCGAACGGGUGAGUAACACGUGAGUAACCUGCCCUUGACUCUGGGAUAAGCCCGGGAAACUGGGUCUAAUACCGGAUAGGAGCGCCUGUCGCAUGACGGGUGUUGGAAAGAUUUUUCGGUCAUGGAUGGACUCGCGGCCUAUCAGCUUGUUGGUGAGGUAAUGGCUCACCAAGGCGACGACGGGUAGCCGGCCUGAGAGGGUGACCGGCCACACUGGGACUGAGACACGGCCCAGACUCCUACGGGAGGCAGCAGUGGGGAAUAUUGCACAAUGGGCGGAAGCCUGAUGCAGCGACGCCGCGUGAGGGAUGACGGCCUUCGGGUUGUAAACCUCUUUCAGUAGGGAAGAAAGCGAAAAGUGACGGUACCUGCAGAA